CAGUACUCAGACCGCUGGUUCAACGCAGGCAGAGGAGCUGAAAGAGCUGGUUCAACGCAGGCAGGGAAGCUGAAAGAGCUGGUUCAACGCAGACAGAGGAGCUGAAAGAGCUGGUUCAACGCAGACAGAGGAGCUGAAAGAGCUGGUUCAACGCAGGCAGAGGACCUGAAAGAGCUGGUUCAACGCAGGCAGAGGACCUGAAAGAGCUGGGUCAACGCAGGCAGGGAAGCUGAAAGAGCUGGUUCAACGCAGGCAGAGGACCUGAAAGAGCUGGUUCAACGCAGGCAGAGGACCUGAAAGAGCUGGGUCAACACAGACAGAGGACCUGAAAGAGCUGGUUCAACGCAGACAGAGGAGCUGAAAGAGCUGGGUCAACGCAGGCAGAGGACCUGAAAGAGCUGGUUCAACGCAGACAGAGGAGCUGAAAGAGCUGGUUCAACAAAGGCAGAGGAGCUGAAAGAGCUGGGUCAACGCAGACAGAGGAGCUGAAAGAGCUGGUUCAACGCAGACAGAGGAGCUGAAAGAGCUGGGUCAACGCAGACAGAGGACCUGAAAGAGCUGGGUCAACGCAGGCAGAGGACCUGAAAGAGCUGGUUCAACGCAGACAGAGGAGCUGAAAGAGCUGGUUCAACGCAGGCAGAGGAGCUGAAAGAGCUGGGUCAACGCAGGCAGAGGACCUGAAAGAGCUGGUUCAACGCAGACAGAGGAGCUGAAAGAGCUGGUUCAACGCAGGCAGAGGACCUGAAAGAGCUGGUUCAACGCAGACAGAGGAGCUGAAAGAGCUGGUUCAACGCAGACAGAGGAGCUGAAAGAGCUGGGUCAACGCAGGCAGAGGACCUGAAAGAGCUGGUUCAACGCAGACAGAGGAGCUGAAAGAGCUGGGUCAACGCAGACAGAGGACCUGAAAGACCUGGUGACAUUUGACAAUAUAUUGGCAAAGAGGGACAGAACCAUGACUGAAGCUACACCACUGAGAGAGAUGGAGCUGAAACGGCAGCCUGAGUCUGAUGGGUGUGGCUCAACAAAUCAUGAUGGGUCUGGUUUGACCGCUGAGCUGAGGAUUGUGUUGCUAGGAAGACUGGA